GCUUUAUUUUAAACUUUGGAAGCCCUCGCUAGAGAACUACAAGCCACAGCUUAAAACUCAAAGGACUUGGUGGUACUCCACACCCGCCUAGAGGAGCCUGUUCUAUAAUCGAUACCCCCCGAUAAACCUCACCUUUUUUUGCUAACUCAGCCUAUAUACCACCGCCCUCAGCUCACCCCUCAAAAGAGUAACAGUAAGCAAAAUAAUUUUAAAUAAAAAAGCCAGGUCAAGGUGUAGCAUAUAAAAAGGGAAGAAAUGGGCUACAUUUUUAAAUAUUAAAAAUACGGAAUAUUUUAUGAAAUAAAAUAUAAAGGAGGAUUUAGAAGUAAAAAGAAAAAAGAGAGCUCUUUUUAAGUUGGCAAUAGAGUGUAC
rnacentral:rRNA from 1 species